rnacentral:rRNA from 1 species
CGGGUGAGUAACACGUGAGUGACCUGCCUUUUAGACUGGAACAACUUACCGAAGGGUGAGCUAAUGCCGGAUGAGUUAUAUAAGUGCAUGUUUAUAUAGGAAAAGUUGGGGAGACCUGACGCUGAAAGAUGGACUCGCGUCCCAUUAGCUAGUUGGUAGGGUAAUGGCCUACCAAGGCGACGAUGGGUAGCCGGCCUGAGAGGGUGGCCGGCCACACUGGGACUGAGACACGGCCCAGACUCCUACGGGAGGCAGCAG